ACUCAACACUUAAUCAUUUAAGAAGGGUGAGUCUGGAUUGUAAAAGCGCGCCGUUACCGUUUACGGUACUACGGAUUCUUGAUCAGUCCUUUAGCCCUAAUCCUGUUUAAUAGGAGUUU
rnacentral:sRNA from 1 species